AGUAUGGACUAGUAGGUUGUCACGAAGAGAAUAUUUUUAAGUGAGAAUUUUUAAAUAUAGAAAAAAAAAAUAAUAAAAAUUACAGUGCGCGUUACAUACUGUUCAAGCUCCAUACUACAGAAUAAAGCCGUAUGAACAAAGAAAUUUCAAUAAAAUAACCAGAGAAUAAAUUAUAAAUCGAGGAAUAACCUACUAUUACGCGUCUAAUUAUCGCAAAAAUAAAAAAUAUCUAAACGAGUAUAUGUAAUAAGGUGAAAAAGUAUCAAUAUGACCGUCAUAGGAGUAGACGAAGAAUAUAAUAAUGGCAGCAGUUUGCUGGGAAAUGCCAAGAAUAACAGAUCUGCGAUUGUCCAAAUUGUUCCAGCACAACCGAAAACAUUAUCACAUUUACCAGCAAGACCUGCCGUUAAUCUAGCAUUUCAAGAUCUUUAUUAUCGCAUCAAAGAGGGUCGCAGAAAUAAUGAAAAGGAAAUUCUCAAAGGUGUCAGCGGCACAUUGCGCUCCAAUGAGCUCACAGCGAUCAUGGGACCAUCGGGAGCUGGCAAAAGUACCUUGUUGAACAUCUUAUCUGGCUACAAAUCCACUGGAAUUGAAGGCUCAAUUGCGAUUAAUGGCAAGGAAAGAAACAUCAGUCAAUUCCGCAAGUUGUCGGCAUACAUCAUGCAGGAUAAUCAACUUCACGGAAAUUUACGAGUUGAUGAAGCCAUGAAUGUCGCAAGUAGCUUAAAGUUGCCCCAAAGUGUUGGAAAGAACGAGAAAGAAGUUGCUAUUCAUGAAAUUCUUGACACCUUGGGUCUCCUCGAGCAUCGUCGCACAUUCACCCGCAACCUCAGUGGUGGCCAAAAGAAACGUCUUUCAAUUGCUCUGGAAUUGGUAAACAAUCCACCAAUUAUGUUCUUCGACGAGCCAACUUCCGGUCUCGAUUCAUCCACCUGCUUCCAAGUCAUCAAUUUGCUCAAAUUCUUAGCGGGUGGCGGUCGCACAAUCAUUUGCACAAUUCACCAGCCAAGUGCACGUCUCUUCGAGAUGUUCGAUCAAUUGUACACGUUGGCGGACGGGCAAUGCGUCUAUCAAGGUCGAACGAAUCAGUUGGUUCCCUUUUUGAAGACACUCGAUUUGGAAUGUCCGAGUUAUCACAAUCCCGCGAGUUAUGUCAUUGAAGUGGCAUGCGGCGAGCACGGUGAUCAUACGAGGAAACUCGUUAAUGCAAUUGAAAACGGCAAAAAGGAUAUCCGAUCGGAAGACAAUUUUCCUGCAGCAAUGGCGGCAAAUGGACUUGCAAAGGUGCACGCUAAAGAUUCCAAUUUGAAGUCAAAUUACGAGAAAAAUAUUCAAAAGGACGUAAAUAUGGACAUCAAGACGGCGUCAUCGCAAAAACAUGUGGGAAAUGGACUUUUGCAGAAGGCAGUGAACGAUCUUGCCAAAAAUGGAGAAGAAAAUGUUGUGAUACCCGUGGAGGAAAAGGAAGAUAAUGAAGCAGCUGUGGCACUUUUGGAGCAAGAUACCAUGGUGUCGACCAAAGAACGUUAUCCCACGUCAGAAUGGCAUCAAUUUUUGGUAGUGCUCAAGAGAACUUUGCUCUUCAGUAGACGUGAUUGGACUUUGAUGUACCUUCGAUUGUUUGCUCAUAUUUUGGUCGGAUUUCUCAUUGGUGCUCUCUACUACGAUAUCGGAAAUGAUGGCGCAAAAGUACUCAGCAACUUGGGUUUUCUCUUCUUCAACAUGCUUUUCCUCAUGUACACCUCGAUGACUAUCACAAUUUUAUCAUUCCCGCUAGAGAUGCCUGUCUUAUUAAAGGAAAACUUUAAUCGAUGGUAUUCACUGAGGUCUUACUAUUUCGCAAUCACCCUUUCGGAUAUUCCAUUCCAGGCCUGUUUCUGCGUCAUUUACGUCUCUAUCGUAUAUUACUUCACAUCACAGCCAAUGGAAUGGUUCCGAUUCAGUCUUUUCUUAGGUGCUUGCUUGUUGGUGUCCUUCGUUGCACAAAGUGUCGGCCUUGUGGUUGGAGCCGCAAUGAACGUACAAAAUGGCGUUUUCCUUGCACCAGUGAUGUCUGUACCAUUCCUUCUCUUCUCCGGUUUCUUCGUAUCAUUUGAUGCAAUUCCCGUUUAUCUCCGAUGGAUUACAUAUUUAUCGUACAUUCGAUAUGGCUUCGAGGGCACCGCCCUAGCUACAUACUCAUUUGGACGCGAAAAAUUAAAGUGUUUCCAGACCUAUUGCCACUUCAAGUCGCCACAAACCACUUUGGAGGAACUUGACAUGGUAGAUGCGGACUUUACACUGGACAUUGUUGCGUUAGUCGUCAUUUUCGUGCUGCUUAGAGUUGCCGCAUUCUUAUUCUUAAGAUGGAAACUGAAGACAGUGCGUUAAAAAAAAGUGAUUGAAAACUUUCUUUUUGUAUAGCAUUAAGUAAUAUUAUUGUGGAUAAAUUUAUUGUUGUUAGCUUUAAGUCCCUUUUUUGUAUAUCACACAUUUAUACGGUAUGGCUCAUGCAGGAGAAAUGAAAGCCACAAUUUCUACCAAAGACAGAGCAUAUUUUCACACAGAACUGUAUUAACGGCGACCGAAUCGCAUGUAACCGUAAUCUCCGAUUUCCUGGCCGCGUUUACCGAAUCUCAAGUGACCAUAGUCGUCCAUUGUACCACGUUUAUCGAUGUCACUUUCGUCCAUAAAUUCCAUAUCCACGGGGUUGACGUGUUCCCGGCGAUAAGCGUUGAUGGCGUACAGCGGACGAGCCAUACGUUUAUUUGAGUAACGGCUCCAUUGUUGGGUUGCAGGUGCUUUUAAUGGGGCGUCGUCUCCAGAUGCUUCAACUUUGGCAUCAACUGCUGCCGCAAAGAGCAGCAUGUACGUCAAAUAAAGGACGAGCGUUGUAAUAAAUGUAACGGAAAUGUAAGUCAUUUUUGUGGAUUUUC